rnacentral:rRNA from 1 species
UACGAGGGGGGCGAGCGUUGUUCGGAAUUAUUGGGCGUAAAGGGUGCGUAGGCGGUUUGGUAAGUCUGAUGUGAAAUCUAUGGGCUCAACUCAUAGUCUGCAUCGGAAACUGCCGGGCUUGAGUGUGGGAGAGGUGAGUGGAAUUCCUGGUGUAGCGGUGAAAUGCGCAGAUAUCAGGAAGAACACCCGUGGCUAAGGCGGCUCUCUAGUACGUGACUGACGCUGAGACGCGAAAGCGUGGGGAGCGAACAGG